UACGUAGGUGGCAAGCGUUGUCCGGAUUUACUGGGCGUAAAGAGCGCGCAGGCGGCUGGUCAAGUCCGAUGUGAAAUCUCCCGGCUUAACUGGGAAACUGCAUCGGAAACUGAUCGGCUUGAAGGUGGGAGAGGGUAGUGGAAUUCCCGGUGUAGUGGUGAAAUGCGUAGAGAUCCGGAAGAACACCGGUGGCGAAGGCGGUUCUCUGGGCAUUACCUGACGCUGAGGAGCGAAAGUGUGGGGAGCGAACAGG
rnacentral:rRNA from 1 species